GAUGAACGCUGGCGGCGUGCCUAAUACAUGCAAGUAGAACGCUGAAGGAGGGGCUUGCUCUUUCCGGAGGAGUCGCGAACGGGGGAGUAACCCGUAGGUAACCUGCCUGGUAGCGGGGGAUAACUAUCGGAAACGAUAGCUAAUACCGCAGAACAGUAGAGAUUGCAUGAGAUUUGCUUGAAAGGGGCAAUUGCUCCACUACCAGAGGGACCUGCGUGGUAUUAGCUAGUUGGUGAGGUUACGGCUCACCAAGGCGACGAUACAGAGCCGACCGGGGAGGGGGGUCGGCCACCCUGGGACUGGGACACGGCCCAAACCCCUUCGGGAGGCAGCCAUAGGGGAACUUCGGGCAUGGACGGAAGUCUGACCGAGCAACGCCGCGUGAGUGCAGAAGGUUUUCGGAUCGUAAAGCUCUGUUGUCAGGGAAGAAAGAGAGUGAGAGUGGAAAGUGCACACUGUGACGGUAUCUUACCAGAAAGCGACGGCUAACUACGUG
rnacentral:rRNA from 1 species